AGUGAACGCUGGCGGUAGGCCUAACACAUGCAAGUCGAACGGCAGCACAGUAAGAGCUUGCUCUUACGGGUGGCGAGUGGCGGACGGGUGAGGAAUACAUCGGAAUCUACUUUUUCGUGGGGGAUAACGUAGGGAAACUUACGCUAUUACCGCAUACGACCUACGGGUGAAAGCAGGGGAUCUUCGGACCUUGCGCGAUUGAAUGAGCCGAUGUCGGAUUAGCUAGUUGGCGGGGUAAAGGCCCACCAAGGCGACGAUCCGUAGCUGGUCUGAGAGGAUGAUCAGCCACACUGGAACUGAGACACGGUACAGACUCAUACGGGAGGCAGCAGUGGGGAAUAUUGGACAAUGGGCGCAAGCCUGAUCCAGCCAUACCGCGUGGGUGAAGAAGGCCUUCGGGUUGUAAAGCCCUUUUGUUGGGAAAGAAAAGCAGCAGGUUAAUACCCCGCUGUUCUGACGGUACCCAAAGAAUAAGCACCGGCUAACUUCGU
rnacentral:rRNA from 1 species